UGUCUCUCUGUUCCUCCUUCUCUCCCUGUGCCCUUCUGUCUCUCUCUCUCUCUCUCUCUCUCUCACUCUCUCAGGUGGUCGCUGCCUCUCGUGAGCGUAAUCAGAGACUGAAAUAACUCCCCUGAAGAGCCUGUGACCGAAGAGCUGAAGUGGUGCCUCUUUCCAAAAAUAGAGCUGAUUGACCGUUACACUUUAAUUACGAAGAAAAAAGAAAAAGAAAAGAAUUUGAGUUAUUUUUGUAAUCUGGUGUUGAAUGUCCCCAUCAGAGGUCAUCCCCAGCAGUUCAUCAUUCCUGGAGGAAGAACAAAAUUCUAGUCACCACAGAUGAGAAUAGUAAGACUUCAUAUGCUGAGAGAGAGAGAGAGAGAGAGAGAGAGAGAGAGAGAGAGAGUGUUAGUGUGUGUGUGUGUGUGUGUGUGUGUGUGUGUGUGUGGUACUUAGGUCCUGCCCCCAUCCCCACCUCCAAACACCACUUUAUUUUUCUACAAGAAAUUGAGGAAAUUAUGUCUGAGAACACACACACACACACACACACACACACACACACAUAUACACAUGUACACAUUCACUCAUCAGGGGGUGUCCCUGCUGAAAAUCUGCACUCAUCUUUCUCUCUUAUACCAUCCCUUUCACACACACCUAUCCUCACACUCAGAGACACACACACACACACACACUCACACACAGCUGCCAACAUGUGCCUUUCAGCAGUUUUCCUCCUGCUGACGCUGUGCGGUUCUUCUGUUGGUCAGUAUCUGUCCAGGUUCAACAUGGCGGGAGUCACCGGUUCGGUCCGGUUUGACUCCAUGCAACAGACAGCCACUGUAAACCUCAGUGGUACCGGCGUAGAAACAUGUGGCUCCUUCAAUCUGACGCUCACCGAGUUUCCUGUAAUGUACGGUCACGUGGCCCAGCCCUGUGAGAAAGCCCACAUAGGAGCUCGUGUGUUCACGCUGUCUAUUAACACUUCUGUUUCUUUAGUGAACAUCUCCGGUAUGCUCCAUCAAACCCCCAAUCUGGAAGCACGCUCUUUAUUGGUAGAGACAUGUAAUGGCACGAAGGCUUGUGCAGGUGUCAUAGCAGAGUCAAAGGUCAGCACUUGGCAGGCUCGGUUCUUUAGUAUCGUGGCUGGGAACAUCUACCUCCGGCAGAUAUUGGGGCAACCGAGCGCCACACUUCUUUCCAACCUGGUCGAUCUGAAUCAGAAUAGCUCCUCUUUCGUGAACGUGAACGUUUUUCUAUCUCGGAGUUCUGCUGCUAGCUGUGAAGCAUUGCUGGGCAGCCUGAACCUAAACAGUUUGAUAAAGUUGGGCCAGCUGAUGGUAGGCACUCCUAGUGAACCUGUCAAAUCCCGUUUAGAGAUCCCAUCUCUUGAUGCUGGAUUUCGCUUUGCUCUAUUCAAUCUCAGCUCAGAGUAUACAUGUGCUGAGAUCCGAACCUUAGAACCGAAGGAGGUCAGUGCUCUGAUAGACAUGAGAGGGGUCAAAGGUUAUAUCACCUUUCGCCAGCCGUCUCCCUUUGAACUUACUACUCUCUCUGUGAACCUCACCAAUCUGAACAGAAGGGUUGGGCCGUACCACGUUCAUCUGUUUCCCACCCCAGAGAUGAGGUCACCCCCUGAAAGCACCUGCAGCAAUGAUAAUGUUGGGGGCCACUGGAAUCCCUUUAAUGUGGACACUCAGCCAUCUGUUUAUCCCCCACCCCCUGGCUCAACCCAUGACCACUAUGAAACUGGAGACCUCAGUUCCCGACAUGGAUCGUUAAGUAAUGAAGAUGACAUCCAGGCAAGCUUCACCGACUGGAAUCUGCCACUCUUUGGACAGAAUAGCAUUGUUGGUCGUUCUGUGGUUCUGCACCAGCCUGACGGUAAGAGGUUUAUCUGCUCAAGCAUUGGCUACCCUGGGGAAGUGAUCACAGCCCAGGCCAUCUUCCAGAGCCCAGUGGUGGGUACUAUCGUGUUCACUCAGUUGAAAGGAAACCCUUGCUCUGAUGUCUCAGUGUUCCUGGACUUGUCUUACGGACGACUGAAUACUCCUGCAACUCAGAAACACCACUGGCACAUUCAUACCUACCCCAUCAGCACCGAGAGAGACAGUGAUGAGGGUUGCUGUAGAUCCACUGGGGGACACUGGAACCCUUACAACAUCGACACCAGUGCAAGCAGCUAUAAGGUAAACUGUGGACCAGAAUGUCCUUUUGCUUGUGAGAUUGGAGACCUGUCCAGCAAACACAAGAUGCUGAAUUUGUCACCAAAUGUAGGGAAACUACCUAGCAAGAACUUCUUCACAGAUACUACAGCCUGGGUGUCUGGACUGAGCAGCAUGAUUGGUCGGUCUGUAGUGAUUCAUGGCCCUGACGAGGCUGGCCAUCGCAUUGCUUGUGCCAACAUCACACUCCUGCGCUUCCCCUCGGCUCAGACCGGAUCCUGGCAAGGGUCAGGGUCAUCUGGGGGAAAUGUCCACUUCUUCCAGCUCUCUCCCCAGGGUCCAACCAACAUCCAUGUCUCUCUCACUCGUCUGGAGGCCAAAGCUGGUGGAUACCAUGUCCAUCUGCUCCCAGUAAAAAGUGGACCAGCGGCCUGCUCCAACGAGAAUGUCAUGGGCCACUUCAACCCAUAUGGCGUGAAUGUCUCGACGUCUCCAGCACCGGGGAACGGCACAGUGGAUCAGUAUGAGAUUGGCGAUAUCAGCGGGAAGUUUGGGAGUCUAGCUGAUCAGAACCAAUUCGAGAAACAUUACGAGGACAGUAACAUGCCACUGAGUGGACCCAACAGCAUCAUAGGACGGUCGGUGGUUAUCCACUACAGGAAUGGAUCAAGGAUGCAGUGUGCUAAUAUCUCAGCCAUGGACUCCUCUGACGGGCACUGGAUCAUCGCCAAGGCCGUUUUCAACAGCCGUGUGAAGGGCACAGUAGUCCUGUCCCAACAGUGUUUUCCUGAUGGCAGCUUCAGUGACACGACCCUGCUGGUGGACCUCAGAGCGUCUAACACUGUUAAUGUCAAAAACGCUUCCUGGUACAUAACCGAAAGUCCGUUCAGUGGACUGGUGGCUGAAUGUCCAGGAAAUGGAAGAACUUAUAACCCUUUCAACAUGACAGCUCAGAGCUCCAACUGUUCCCCACUCACCUAUUUGGCGUGCGAGGUUGGAGAUCUGACCAGCAAACUCGGCUCCGUCAGUUUAACACAAAGGCAGCUCUUUACAGAUGCGCAUCUUCAGCUGGCUGGAGACUACACAGAAAGGAUAACACCAAGGGCGUUAAUGUAAACCUGUGAGUGGAAGCUGCACUACGGUCAGAGCUGCUGAUCCAGAACAUGAAUCAAUCACCUUCUGUCUGAUCCGAAUCCAGAAUUCAACGCUGUUUCUCAUAUCGAGUGAUGCAUGAUAAAAUACCUGAAGGAUGCUUUAUUCAUCCUUUAAAGUACUCCAGUACCAAGAUUUUUAGAAACUCAUCUUGGAUGGAUUAUUCUGAAUGGUGUUACGUGACGGGAGUCGACUCUCACUGAUCACCUAAAUGAGAGCUGACUCAAAGAGCCGACGUGAACAAACGAAAACCCUUUUGCUGUUUGUUUCGUCAGUCGUUUACAGAACGCUAGUCCUGAGGGCAGGAAACGAGACCAUCGAUUGUGCGGACAUCGUCCCUGUGUCACCAUCGGCGCAGCAAAUCUUCCCGAACAUAAAAUCCUUCAGCAGUUAUGAUUUCCGUAAAAGGGUGGCAG